UCUAAGGAAAUUUCUUUCAUCUUCUCUCAAGUAAGAUUCAAAAUUGCUCUUUUUCCAAACCCUAAGCUUUAAUUCAUUAUUUGACAUUAAUAGUUCAGAUACCUUCUCCAUGGAACUCCAUUGUUCAUAAACCUAAUAACCUAGAUCUCUAUUAUAGGGGUCCAUCGAUUGCUAAGCAUAUGGAAUCAAGUCACCUAAUUGCGGAAGAUUGACAAAAAGAUCAUCCAAUAUGUAGGUUGUCGGUGAUCCAUGCCUCUCAAGAAGCAUAUCGUUAUUUAGGUGGAAGUACAAAUAGUUAAGCUUGUUGGAACAUAGAACCAACUGACUUAUUAUAUGUACAAGAGUGUUGAAAUUUAUUUCUUUUACUGAUUUUAUUUUUUUAGCAAGGAUAAAAGUAGUAAAUUGGUAGAAAAAUAAGUGGGGUCAUAUUAUUAUUUAUAUUUAUACUUAAUAGAAUCAUUAGCCCUAAAUUAGAAGUGCACCUGUUUCGAAUAGCUGAAAGACUAAUAGUGCUCUACAUCAUUGAUAAGGAAUGAUUUUGUGUUUAGAUACAUAGUUGAGGAUU